GGCAAUGACCUUGGGGACAGCUGGGGCUGGGUUAUCGUGCGCCAAAGGCCUGGGUAGGUACCCAGAACUCUGACCUGGGUGUUUUAGAAUCUGACAGGGCUCCCUGACAACGACGAUGGGGGUUUCUGAGUGCCGGAAAAACACUGGAAACAGAACGGAACCCUGCGGCCCGUUGCCCGGAGACGGGCAGAGAAACAGGAAGCAGGUAGGGAGGAGCGGUUCUUUCUGCUGCGUGCCCUGCAGGCCGAGCCCCAGCCCCAGCCUCAGCGCAGGGGAGGAAGGGGGGGCUGGGACUUAACAGCCAUCAGAGGCAGGCUCCUGUAUUAGUGCAUUCAGUGACAAGAGUUCUACCUGCCACAGUGUGAACACAGUGGUGUACACUUUCCCCAGCUGCUGGCAACCACCGAGUAGUGGGAGAAAACACCUGGGAUCUCUACAGGUGGGCAAGUCGCAUACACUUCCCUUAGGACUGAAGUGUUCAGCCUGUAUUCAAAUGGGAGGGUGCCAAGGCUUGGGGAAUGCUGACUGGAGACAUGGUGUGGGGCCUUCUGAGGAAGUGAGAAGUGAGCCUCCUGGCUGUGGGAGAAGAAUUGUAACCAUCCACCACCCUUUGUCAGAUGUCCAAAGGCACAGGAAACCUGCUCCUCCCAGCUGGGCUGUGUUGAAGGAUUUGGUGCUCUUUCUCUCAUCCAGACUCCCCUGGUCUCCCGCCAGAAGCUGACUCAGGCGGAUUCUGGGGACAGCGAUGUGGGACACUGCGCUAGGUGAACGUACCUCACAUGGGGGUGGGAAUGAAGCGUCGUGGUGGGCCUCUGUUCAUCAGAAGCUGUUUCCCAGGGAACAGUGUGCUGGAACAGCCAGUUGUGUUCCAUGAGACAGUGUUAUUUGGAAAGAGAGGCAUGUGUAAGCAUUUACCCCAGAUGUAGCCAUCAUUUCCAUCCUACUUAACCCCACCCUUCGGCUCUCCUUCAUCUGCUCAGCUUCCGUGAGAACUCGAACAUCUUACAGGAGAAGAUCAGCCGAGAACCACUCUUAGGUUUGUCAAGAAUCUGCCUGGGCAAUCUCAACUGAGAAAAAACAUUGGCCUGGGCUAUGGAAAGGUAAAUAAAUAAUUUGCAAAUCAUCAAAACAAGAGCAAAAAACCUAACACUCCAAGACAUGCUUUGACAAUUAGGGAAAGAACUUCAAAAACCAAAGCAUCAAAGAGCUACCAGUUCAUAGCUGCCAAACUCACAAAGGCGAAGAAUGAUCACAGCACUUGACCCAGUGGGGAGGAAGCCACUUCCAGACCACAGGGGGGUGAGGGUAAACGAAGAAGGCUUUUCAGGAAAGCAAUAUGGGAACAAGUCUCAGGAUCCUCACCCAUGUUUACGCUUCUCACAUCUGUGUUUGCUCAUGUAAUAUUCUGACUCGAGGAAGUUAAUUGAAGUACAAGAAAGUAUUUACCCAUAAAGACAUUUGCUGCAAUGUUAUUCAUGACUGUAAACAAACACAAAACCCUGUGAACAACCUUUGUGUCCAGCAACAGGAAAAUAAGGACAUGACGAGAUGUCCUUUGUGCUGUGUUCUGUGACCAUUACGUUUUUCAGAGCAUUUGAUACAAAAGUUGAGCUUAUUUCUUCCCUUGAAAAAGAGAAUAAACGUGCAGUAUUUCCAAAUAUGCAAAUGAGACUAUGUUCAAAAACAUCCAUAGGUGAAAGAUCAGAGGGGAGUAAAACAAAAUUGUUACAGGUUUUAUGCUUGGUCACAGUAUGGGACAUAAUAUUUAUCUUCUGUUGUCUGA